GUUUGAUCCUGGCUCAGAUUGAACGCUGGCGGCAUGCCUUACACAUGCAAGUCGAACGGCAGCACGGGAGCAAUCCUGGUGGCGAGUGGCGAACGGGUGAGUAAUAUAUCGGAACGUGCCCAGUAGUGGGGGAUAACUGCUCGAAAGAGCAGCUAAUACCGCAUACGACCUGAGGGUGAAAGGGGGGGAUCGCAAGACCUCUCGCUAUUGGAGCGGCCGAUAUCAGAUUAGCUAGUUGGUGGGGUAAAGGCCUACCAAGGCAACGAUCUGUAGUUGGUCUGAGAGGACGACCAGCCACACUGGGACUGAGACACGGCCCAGACUCCUACGGGAGGCAGCAGUGGGGAAUUUUGGACAAUGGGCGCAAGCCUGAUCCAGCAAUGCCGCGUGCAGGAAGAAGGCCUCGGUUGUAACGU
rnacentral:rRNA from 1 species